rnacentral:rRNA from 1 species
CAGCAGCAGCCGCGGGAAUACAGAGGGUGCAAGCGUUAAUCGGAAUUACUGGGCGUAAAGCGCGCGUAGGUGGUUUGUUAAGUUGGAUGUGAAAGCCCCGGGCUCAACCUGGGAACUGCAUCCAAAACUGGCAAGCUAGAGUACGGUAGAGGGUGGUGGAAUUUCCUGUGUAGCGGUGAAAUGCGUAGAUAUAGGAAGGAACACCAGUGGCGAAGGCGACCACCUGGACUGAUACUGACACUGAGGUGCGAAAGCGUGGGGAGCAAACAGGAUUAGAUACCCCCGUAGUCCCUGUCUCUUAUAC